rnacentral:rRNA from 1 species
UACGAAGGGUGCUAGCGUUGUUCGGAAUUACUGGGCGUAAAGGGCGCGUAGGCGGCUUUCCAAGUCAGGGGGGAAAUCCCGGGGCUCAACCCCGGAAUUGCCUUUGAAACUGGAAAGCUAGAGUGUCGGAGGGGAUAGCGGAAUUGCUAAUGUAGAGGUGAAAUUCGUAGAUAUUAGCAGGAACACCGGUGGCGAAGGCGGCUAUCUGGACGACAACUGACGCUGAGGCGCGAAAGCAUGGGGAUCAAACAGG